GGUUAUUUCUUUGUUGAUGUAAUAAACAGCUUUGUUUAUGGGAAUGUGACAUUCGUUUUUCUUGACAGCCUUGGUGAAGGUUUUAUAAAAGAGGUGGUUGAAUUUGAGAAUUGCGCCCCUUGCGUGUUCUUUAUAACUGCUUAUAUAAGGAGUUGGUCAUAUAGAAAACACCAUAGGAAGUCCCUUGCUUCCCCUUCCAUUACUUUGAUGAUGGUAUAAGUGUUCCUCCUUGACACAUGAGCAAUCAGGAUGUACUUACUGAACCCAGCAUCCACUAGAAUAGUAGUUCUCAGCUGGAGAUCAUUUUGCCUCCCAGGAUACAUUUGGCAAUGUCCACAGUUAUUUUUUAUUAUGCUGACAGUGCGGUGCUCCUGGCAUCUAGUGGGUAGAGGCCAUAGAUGCUGCUAAAAAUCCUAUAAAGCACAAGAUAACCUACAAAGAUUUAUCUGGUGCAAAAUGUUAGUAGUGUUGAGAUUGAGAAACCAUACACUAAAGACAAGUUUUUUGGGAGGGCAUCAGUAUGUGAAAGAAGCCCAAGACCUGAUUCCAGCUGCUUAUAACAUAUAAUUGACCUUUGGACAACAUGGUUUGAACUGCGCAGGUCCACUUACAUGCGAUGGUUUUUUUUGUUUUGUUUGUUUUUUUUUAAUACAGUACAGUACACCAUUGUAAAUGUAUUUUCUCAUGAUUUUCUUUUUUAGCAUUGAUACAGUACGUUUUAAUAUAGUCCAUAUUCAGAUUUCCAUAUUUACCUCCAAAAAAUCCUUUUAGCUUUUUUGGGGGAGGGGUACAAAAUCCAGUCAAAUAUCAUAUAAUACAUCCCUUUCUCACACCUCCUUAGUAUCCUUUCAUCUAGAACAGCUCUCCUACCUUUUUCAAAAAUAUUUCACAUCUUUCAGAAAUCAGAGUUAUUGAGGUAUAAUGUACAUAGAGUAAAAAUCACCUAGUUUAUGUGUACAUUUUAAUGAGUUUUGGCAAAUAUAAACAGUUAUGAAAACACCUCUUCAAUAAUGAUAUGUUUUCCUUAUUUCAAAAUCCUUGUGCCCCUUUUCAGUCAGUCCCAAGUACAUUUUUUACAUUUCCUCUUUUUUGAAACUAUUUUAAAGGCUUUUGUGAUGCCAUGGCUGGUCUAGUUUUCCUCCCAGAUCUCCUCAGUCACUUUAGCCAGCUUCUCUUCCUCUGUGAGGACAGGAAACUUGUUUGUAACAGUUUGUCACUUAGGAUCAUACUCUCAACACCUAGAACAAUACCUGGUGUAGGAAACACUGCAAAGUGAGGCACUUUGAACUAUGCUCAUUUAUGUAAUGUUUAGUUUCCAGCUAAAUAUUACCUUCAUUUUCUAAAUGACCAUAAAGCUCAACAAAGUAUAAUUGGUACCAUUUACAAAACCACUAUAUAACAAAGCCAGGAUUUAAAUACAUUGGGUAAAAUAUGUUCUGAUUAAUUAUAUUUCAGUAUUAAAAAUUGUUUUUAAUGUGCAUAGAGUUGAUACAAAAUGUUACAUUGGUUUCAGGUGUGCAACGUGAUCUAGCGUCUCUAUACAUUAUGCUAAGGUCGCUACAAGUGUAGCUACCAACUCACUGUACGGUGUGAUUAUGGUAUCACUGACUAUAUUCCCUAUGCUGUACCUUUAUUCCCUAUUAUCUCAGUAUUUACAGACAGAUGUGUGAAUAUUGAAAAUAAUUGCGAUUACAGAAUUUAAGAUUUUUAGAGCCCUUUAUUCUUAGGGUAUAAGGUUAUGCACAUUCACUAAGAGCUGUAUAGUGUAAUACUUAUGUAACAUUUUGAAUUUGAAAAGCACUUGUUGAGCUGCAGAAUAAGUAAGGCAAAUGUUAUUUGGUCAUUACUUUGUAGUCACUUGAGAGAUUUUAUGAGUUUAAUUCUUUUUUUUAAUUGAAGUAUAGUUGGCAUCCAAUGUUAGUUUCAAGUGUACAAUGUAGUGGUUCAAGUUUAUAUGUUAUCUUCAUUGUAAGUGUAGCUACCAUCUGUUGCCGUAUAAUGGUAUUACAAUGUUAUUGACUAUAUUCCCUAUGCUGUACCUUUUAUCCCCAUAACUUAUUCCGUAACUGGAAGCCUGUAUCUCCUUUUCACCCAUUUUCACCCACCCUUCUCCCCCUAUGGCAACCACAUUUGUUCUUUGUAUUUAUGGGUCUGUUUGUGUUUUUUGUUUUUGUUCUUUAGAUUACACAUAUAAAUGAAAUCAUGGUA